UACAGAGGGUGCAAGCGUUAAUCGGAAUUACUGGGCGUAAAGCGUGCGUAGUCGGUUAUCUAAGUCGGGUGUGAAAUCCCCGGGCUCAACCUGGGAAUUGCAUUCGAUACUGGAUAGCUAGAGUUCGGCAGAGGGAAGCGGAAUUUCCGGUGUAGCGGUGAAAUGCGUAGAUAUCGGAAGGAACAUCAGUGGCGAAAGCGGCGAUCUGGGUCGAUACUGACGCGUGAGGUGACGAAGCGGUGGGAGCAAACAGG
rnacentral:rRNA from 1 species